rnacentral:tRNA from 1 species
AUUUAAAUAGCUUAUAUAGAGUAUGAUAUUGAAGAUAUCAAGGAAAUUAAAAAAUUUUUAAAU